AUUGAACGCUGGCGGCAGGCCUAACACAUGCAAGUCGAGCGGAGCGGAGGACGGGUGAGUAAUGCCUAGGAAUCUGACUGGUAGUGGGGGAUAACGUCCGGAAACGGGCGCUAAUACAGCAUACUAUCAGAUGAGCCUAGGUCGGAUGAGCAAGUUGGGGGGGUAAAGGCCUACCAAGGCGACGAUCCGUAACUGGUCUGAGAGGAUGAACAGUCACACUGGAACUGAGACACGGGCCAGACUCCUACGCGAGGCAGCAGUGGGGAAUAUUGGACAAUGGGCGAAAGCCUGAUCCAGCCAUGCCGCGGGUAUGAAGAAUGUCUUCGGAUUGUAAAGCUCUUUAAGUUGGGAGGCGUUACCAACAGAAUAAGCACCGGCUAACUUCGUGCCAGCAGCCGCGGUAAUAC
rnacentral:rRNA from 1 species